rnacentral:rRNA from 1 species
UACGUAGGGGGCAAGCGUUGUCCGGAAUCAUUGGGCGUAAAGAGCGUGUAGGCGGCCCGGUAGGUCCGCUGUGAAAGUCCAGGGCUCAACCCUGGGAUGCCGGUGGAUACUGUCGGGCUCGAGUCCGGAAGAGGAGUGUGGAAUUCCUGGUGUAGCGGUGAAAUGCGCAGAUAUCAGGAGGAACACCAAUGGCGAAGGCAGCACUCUGGGACGUGACUGACGCUGAGACGCGAAAGCGUGGGGAGCGAACAGG